UACGGAGAUGGCAAGCGUUGCUCGGAAUUAUUGGGCGUAAAGCGCGCGUAGGCGGGAAGGAAAGUCAGGUGUGAAAGCCUUGGGCUCAACCCAAGAAAGCCACUUGAAACUUCCUUCCUUGAGGAGAGGAGAGGAAGGUGGAAUUCCCAGUGUAGCGGUGAAAUGCGUAGAUAUUGGGAGGAACACCAGUGGCGUAGGCGACCUUCUGGCCUCCUCCUGACGCUGAGGCGCGAAAGCCAGGGGAGCGAACGGG
rnacentral:rRNA from 1 species